UAAGAAUAAUUAAAGGUUUCGUAUGUUUUUUUUCUUGCAAUAUUUUAAUGUACGAGUCUGACAUGCUGAAGCAUACUUGAAGGAAUAUCUUUAAAGAUACACGCUCUUGCUUGAUAUAUCCGGCAGUAGCAGCCUCACUCACAAGUCGGAGGGUGGGAAAGGUAGAUCGAUAAAUCGGUAAUAAUUAAUGUGACAGGAAGAAGCACGGUGUACGAGAAUCAAUUUCAAGAAAUUAUUGAAACUCGUGUUGCAGAUCGUACAACCGCGACGUCUUCAUCGAAGGCGAAUCACAUCGCGCUGCAAAUGUAAAAAGAACGAAUCUCCCAUGUUUAUAAGAAUACACGGAAGAAAAUACGC